rnacentral:rRNA from 1 species
CCUACGGGUGGCAGCAGUAGGGAAUAUUGCUCAAUGGGGGAAACCCUGAAGCAGCAACGCCGCGUGGAGGAUGAAGGUUUUCGGAUUGUAAACUCCUUUUGUUAGAGAAGAUAAUGACGGGUUCUAACUAAUAAGCACCGGCCAACUACCGGCCAGCAGCCGCGGUAAUACGGAGGGGGCAAGCGUUUGUCGGAAUCACUGGGCGUAAAGAGCGCGUAGGCGGGAUAGCAAGUCAGAUGUGAAAUCCUAUGGCUUAACCAUAGAACUGCAUUUGAAACUGUUUUUCUAGAGUGUGGGAGAGGUAGGUGGAAUUCUUGGUGUAGGGGUGAAAUGCGUAGAGAUAAAGAGGAAUACU